rnacentral:lncRNA from 1 species
AAAACUCCUAUCUUCCCCACCCUUCUUCCCAAGGUGCUUCUGUUCAGGGAGGUGGAGUUGAUUGUGUCCCAUGGGACGUGGAUUUGGGGAAGAGGAGUCUCUACAGAUGAUUCCUUGCUCCAUGAGGAUUCAGCAAAGAAAGGCAGGAACCCCAGUCUUGAAUGCAAAGUGUUUUCUUUUAGGUUUCACUAUUGAACACAUAAUGUGUGUCUCCACCUGGAGCUGCCCACCAGAGAUCUCCCCUAAUGUGGGCCUAGAAGACAAGGGUAGAACAUUCGAAAGGUCAAGUGUGGCUAAUGCUUCUCUCCAUCUGGUGAUGUAUCUGGUUUGUUUCUUUAUUCUCGCUGUCUCUCCAUAGGGGUGCUGCUAAAAAACAAGAGUGAUUAAGUACACUAAACUGUUCCACCUCUAGGGAAUCCCAGC